ACCCUCCAGUUUCCUUUCUCAUCAGAUCUGAACACUGGUCUUGGUGGCUGUCAAAAGAGAAAAAGUAAUACUGAAGCUGACCUUACAGUGUUGUAGCUUGAUACAGAACACAUAGGCUGGCUUCAAACAGUA